UUCUGAUUUUACAGAUGAAUAAACAAGGCCGGAGAGGCUAGGUGACUUGCUCCGACUAAACAGCUUGACCAGCCACUAGGACCAACUUUUUGCUGCCAAGCUUUACUUCCUCCAGGGUUAGCCUGGGCUGUUUCCAUGAUUGCCAUGACUUCAGGCUGCUGCAAUCCUUUCUGCCAGCUCCACUCACUCAGUGAUAGCUCUUUGCCACUUGCUUCCUGGGAGCUCACACUACCCUCCUUGCAGCCUCAAGAGUGCAAUUCAAGCAUGCUCCUGGAGCCUUUGAGUCAUCUGUUUGUGAAUCAACCUCCAUCCAAUCUAUUCUGAACACGGAGAUCUCAUCCUCCUCCAGUUUCUGGAACUGGGAGCUGGUGUUUUUCCCUUGUAUUUUCAUUACUGUCUUCCACCUCUCUGGCCCAUAACUUUGAUAAAAGGUUUGUUCCACAUUGUGACCAGGAAAACAGCUCAGAAAAACUUGCGUCACUAGGGCCCAGUGGGGUGUGCUCCAUCAAACAGGACAUGUGUCACGAGCCUUCUAAGAAUCAGGAGGAAGGAAGUCAUUCAUAAAGGAGGCAGAUGCUGAACUGCAACUCUGGUUUCCUCUUCCAAGUCCUUGGACUGUAGAAACAUUGCUCCAGAGGCCGAAUUUCUCUAAAUGCACCUCCAGAAGCUCCGUCCUUAUCCACAUCAAGACAUAUCCCAAAAGUGGCUGAUUCAGCCCAUCUUCCCCACAAUGGGGGUGGGGACUCCCAAGCCUGGUUUACAUACCGACCUCGGGACACAGAAGUUUGUAGGGAUGGACAUGACUUCUGAAAGCAUGGUAAGGAAACAUCCAGAAACCUGAGUGCUGCCCAUACUUACAAAAAGUUGCAAACCGUUUCUUACUCCUAAUGUAGGAAGCUUCAUGAUGUUUGAAGGUGAUUAAAAACAAAACAAAAAAACCUGCUUCUAUCAAGAGCAAAUCAAAGCCUUUAUUAAACCUUCCUCCUUCAAAUGGCCUGCACGAAAAUCUAUGCCCUCCCCCAGACUUGGAACUGCUAGAGCUGGUUGAGUACCCCUUUCCCUUAACAGGUUAGAUCCAAUCAGGCCCCACAAAACUGAAAAGCCAAGCCAAGACACACUAGAACUCUGCAGUUCUGUGCCCCUACUCAGAAUCGAGGCAAAGGUUGGAAGUGCCAGCUCCUGACCCAGAGCUCAAGCACAGGAGAAGAGGAGCCUGAAUUCUGGCCCUCCUUGUCCUACGCCCAGCUGUGUUGAGCUGGCCAAAUGGCCCUAGGCCGCCACUUGAUGAGGCUUACACAUGUGCUUUUCCUUCUUUUCUCCAAAGAAAAGGGUGGAAGAUGGAAGAGGCAAUUUUCAGUUGUGUGUGAUUGAUUUUAAGGCUUUGGCUGUGUGGUCAGUUGCUGUAUUAAAAUACUUUCUGGGAACACCAUCUUCUAAGCUCCCCAUCCGAAAAAA